UACAUAGUAAAUUUGAGGACAGCCUAGAC
rnacentral:piRNA from 1 species